rnacentral:rRNA from 1 species
AGAGUUUGAUCCUGGCUCAGGAUGAACGCUGGCGGCGUGCUUAACACAUGCGAGUCGAACGAAGCACUUUAUUACAAUUUCUUCGGAAUGACGAUUUAGUGACUGAGUGGCGGACGGGUGAGUAACGCGUGGGUAACCUGCCUUAUACAGGGGGAUAACAGUUAGAAAUGACUGCUAAUACCGCAUAAGCGCACAGGAUUGCAUGAUUUGGUGUGAAAAACUCUGGUGGGUAUAAGAUGGACCCGCGUCUGAUUAGCUGGUUGGUGAGGUAACGGCCCACCAAGGCGACGAUCAGUAGCCGACCUGAGAGGGUGACCGGCCACAUUGGGACUGAGACACGGCCCAAACUCCUACGGGAGGCAGCAGUGGGGAAUAUUGCACAAUGGGGGAAACCCUGAUGCAGCGACGCCGCGUGAGCGAAGAAGUAUUUCGGUAUGUAAAGCUCUAUCAGCAGGGAAGAAAAAAAUGACGGUACCUGACUAAGAAGCCCCGGCUAACUACGUGCCAGCAGCCGCGGUAAUACGUAGGGGGCAAGCGUUAUCCGGAUUUACUGGGUGUAAAGGGAGCGCAGGCGGUGCGGCAAGUCUGAUGUGAAAGCCCGGGGCUCAACCCCGGGACUGCAUUGGAAACUGUCGUACUUGAGUAUCGGAGAGGUAAGUGGAAUUCCUAGUGUAGCGGUGAAAUGCGUAGAUAUUAGGAGGAACACCAGUGGCGAAGGCGGCUUACUGGACGAUAACUGACGCUGAGGCGCGAAAGUGUGGGGAGCAAACAGGAUUAGAUACCCCGGUAGUCCACACCGUAAACGA